GACGAACGCUGGCGGCGUGCUUAACACAUGCAAGUCGAACGGAAAGGCCCAGCUUGCUGGGUGCUCGAGUGGCGAACGGGUGAGUAACACGUGGGUGAUCUGCCCCUAACUUCGGGAUAAGCUUGGGAAACUGGGUCUAAUACCGGAUAGGACAAUCGUUUAGUGUCGGUUGUGGAAAGUUUUUUCGGUUAGGGAUGAGCCCGCGGCCUAUCAGCUUGUUGGUGGGGUAAUGGCCUACCAAGGCGUCGACGGGUAGCCGGCCUGGGAGGGUGGACGGCCACAUUGGGACUGAGAUACGGCCCAGACUCCUACGGGAGGCAGCAGUGGGGAAUAUUGCACAAUGGGCGCAAGCCUGAUGCAGCGACGCCGCGUGGGGGAUGACGGCCUUCGGGUUGUAAACCUCUUUCGACAGGGACGAAGCUUUGGUGACGGUACCUGUAUAAGAAGCACCGGCUAACUACGUG
rnacentral:rRNA from 1 species